rnacentral:tRNA from 1 species
GGGCCCGUAGCUCAGUUGGUCAGAGCACUGGACUCAUAAUCCAAGGGUCGCAGGUUCAAGUCCUGCCGGGCCCA